GUAGUUCUAGGCAGCUCAUUCAGUUGAGACUACCGAAUUACGCAGAGAGCAAUCAGUGGGCACAGGGUUACCGAGCCUGCUUUCAGCCCCUUUCUGACCCAGGCUUCCCUCGUUUUCCUGGUGUGGCUGUAGCCCGCUCUGCUGCAGCACGAGUGAGGAGUGUAAGGACUUCUUCCCGGCUUUGCUUAGGGGAAACAACCGUCUGCCCAUUCUCCUGGCUGUAUUCAUCUGCUCUGUCCUGACGUGUGUGGUCAGUCUGAGCAGAGCCCCUUUCCGAGCCAGAGAAGUGCUGCCAAGUGUGACACAGAGGGCGAGGAGGCAGGUGCUGGUACAGUCCUUACCGCUUCCUUCGUAGGAGAAGUCCCAUGCCCAGUUACCUCCGGGUAGGUCCUCCUGCUGCGUCUCUCUCAGCUGUAGCUGCUUUUCUCCCUCAGAUGCAAAGGAUUUGAGAACAGGCAGCAGCAGCUGCCUUUGGUAGCACCAAAGACACUUGGUGACACCUGUGGUGCAGCACCGAGCCGCUUGGUGCUGCUGACAAGGGCGUUGAGAGGUGCUGUGCUUGCCCUCCCGCAGGGAGGGUAGGAGUGGGGAUGUCUGGUUGUGGUGGCCGCUGUCCCCUGUCGUAGCGUGGCUGUGAGCUGUGUGUGUGUCAGGGGAGCGCUUCCCCCAGUACAGGGGCUGCUUGCUCCCGAGCAUACUUGCAGCCACGCCAGCACUUCUACCGAUCUUACUGCCCAUGUACCGAAUGUUUAAAACCCCCAAUAAAGAGGGCAGGAAUGGUCACAGCAGACCUGCCCCUCAAGGGCCCUGAGCACCUGGUGCCUGACGGGCAGCCCAGGUUCAGGUGGGCUCCGGGCCACGGCCAGCACAGCUGAGAUGCGGGACGAGCCCUUGGCUCUCUGCUCUCAGCAGAGCCGGGGGAAGGGAGGUGUGAGCCAGAGGUGGAGGUGUCUGUGGUGCUGCUGGUCUGAGGAGGCCGGUAGGACGUGGGUCGUGGUUCGUCAGAGCAGCUCACAGCCUGUGUGUUUGCAGAGCUUUUCUCCGGUCUCCUGCCUGUGGCUUUGCCUCCUGGGGCUUUGUCUCUGUCUCCAGUGCCUGAUGUGUCUUCCAGCAAAUAGCACAUGUUUGCUGGCAUAUGGACCUGCUUGUCUCUUGUACCAAAGCGUGGAGGAUGGCCUCAGCAAAACGCAGCCCCCAGAAGCAUGCAGCAGGGCGAGCAGGUCCAUGGGGCAGGGACCCCAGACCUGGGGUCCUUACCAGCCACCCAGGAUAACCGCGCAGAGCAGCGGUCCCAGCUGA
rnacentral:lncRNA from 1 species